rnacentral:tRNA from 1 species
GCGCCGGUGGUGUAAGGCGAAUCGUCGUUGCCCGGAAGGCAGAAGAUGCGGGUUCGAGUCCCGCCUGGCGCA